rnacentral:rRNA from 1 species
AUUGAACGCUGGCGGCAGGCUUAACACAUGCAAGUCGAGCGAGCGGCGGACGGGUGAGUAAUGUCUGGGAAACUGCCUGAUGGAGGGGGAUAACUACUGGACACGGUAGCUAAUACCGAAUACAAUCAGAUGUGCCCAGAUGGUAUUAGCUAGUAGGGGGGGUAAUGGCUCACCUAGGCGACGACCCCUAGCUGGUUUGCGGGGAUGACCAGCAAGACUGGAACGGAGACACGGUCCAGACGCCUACGGGAGGCAGCAGUGGGGAAUAUUGCACUAUGGGCGCAAGCCUGAUGCAGCCAGGCCGCGUGUGUGAAGAAGGCCUUCGGGUUGUAAAGCACUUUCAGCGAGGAGGCGUUACUCGCAGAAGAAGCACCGGCUAACGCCGUGCCAGCAGCCGCGGUAAUUC